GACGAACGCUGGCGGCGUGCCUAAUACAUGCAAGUCGAACGCUUCUUUCCUCCCGAGUGCUUGCACUCAAUUGGAAAGAGGAGUGGCGGACGGGUGAGUAACACGUGGGUAACCUACCCAUCAGAGGGGGAUAACACUUGGAAACAGGUGCUAAUACCGCAUAACAGUUUAUGCCGCAUGGCAUAAGAGUGAAAGGCGCUUUCGGGUGUCGCUGAUGGAUGGACCCGCGGUGCAUUAGCUAGUUGGUGAGGUAACGGCUCACCAAGGCCACGAUGCAUAGCCGACCUGAGAGGGUGAUCGGCCACACUGGGACUGAGACACGGCCCAGACUCCUACGGGAGGCAGCAGUAGGGAAUCUUCGGCAAUGGACGCAAGUCUGACCGAGCAACGCCGCGUGAGUGAAGAAGGUUUUCGGAUCGUAAAACUCUGUUGUUAGAGAAGAACAAGGACGUUAGUAACUGAACGUCCCCUGACGGUAUCUAACCAGAAAGACACGGCUAACUACGUG
rnacentral:rRNA from 1 species